UGGCGGACGGGUGAGUAAUGUCUGGGAAACUGCCUGAUGGAGGGGGGAUAACUACUGGAAACGGUAGCUAAUACCGCAUAACGUCGCAAGACCAAANAGGGGGACCUUCGGGCCUCUUGCCAUCGGAUGUGCCCAGAUGGGAUUAGCUAGUAGGUGGGGUAACGGCUCACCUAGGCGACGAUCCCUAGCUGGUCUGAGAGGAUGACCAGCCACACUGGAACUGAGACACGGUCCAGACUCCUACGGGAGGCAGCAUG
rnacentral:rRNA from 1 species